UCAAGAGGAUUAAAAUAGAGUUUCUGGCUAGGAGGGUGUAGCAAGGAAUCGAGGUGUGUGGCAGUGAAAUCAAUGGGCUUAAAUGAACCAAGCCCAAGCCCAAGUCAAUCCAAGUGAAUCCAUUGACCUGGCCAAAGUCAGUAGGUUUGAACUGCUCAAAUGUGCGCUCUUAUCUCACGGCCAAUCCCAGGCCACCCUACCGGACCUCCACCAUAGGCCAUCGCGUCGGUCGUCGCUCCCGGUGGUGAUGGCCACCAAAACCAAAAAUGGAGCUAUCAAAAUGUUCCUCUCAUCACGCUCUUUCCUAAUCCAAUAUCAGUUAUGAACAAAGAUUCUCCUAGGAUCCUAACUGAAGCAAUACACACCAUGAACCCUAGUCGUUUAAUCUCAAAUUACACCCUAGAUAUGUUAAUUCAAAGCCCCUGGGAUUGGGGCUUUGGUUCCUCUCCUAAAACCCUACCGUCUACACAUAAUAAUUGGAAGAGAUCAAGGGGAUCAAGAACUCACCGUGACCGGAGAUUUCAUCGGAGUCAGAUUGAGAGUGAGCUCUUGAGGAGGUUUAAGCACAACAGAUUUGAAGCUCUACUGGUGAGCUUCAAUUGUUUCUAGAGACUUCGUGUAGUGAGGGUGAGGGAGAGGAUUCGAAAAUGAUUGGAAUGAGAGUGUAAUGAUUGCCAAGGGUUUAAAAUGAUGGAGGUGAUGUUAAUUUAUAAUGGUUAGGCUUGGAUGAGAAUAGGUUUGGAUUCAAGUCUAGAAUUAGUUAGGAGUUGGUUUAGAGUUGGUUAAGAUGAACUCAGUGAGUUCAAUCUGUUAACUCACUAAGUUGGCAGUUAGCUAAUGCAAUUGGUUAGUUACUUGGUGAUUGUUAAGUGAUUAUGAACUUGCUUAUCUUUGACUGGUAAAUGUAGGUUAAUACUUAAGUGAAAUUGGCCUUGAUGCUCGAGUGAUGACCUGCUGAACAGGUGGAUCAAUGGCUUGGUGAAUUGAGUUAUGAACUCUGCAUUUCUAAUGGACAGGUACUGCUAUGCUUGGGUGAUUGUAGUAUUAUGAACAUGGAUGCAUGAAUACCUUAUGCAGGUUUGGUAUGAUGCAUGUCUUGUCUCUACUUUGGUUCAAAGCCUCAUUGGUAGAUGAAUGACACUAGGUUAUGGCUUGUGGUAAGUGCUUGCAUUGUUGAUUGGUUGUGAAUUGGUUAUGUGUUAAUGUUUGCAGGCGUGUGAAAAUGGAUUUGAUGUGUUUGAACUCUAACUUACUGAAUAUGCAUGAUGAUUGCAGCCUUAUUGUAGCAGGUCAGUAUGCACUUUACUGCUACUGAUAUGUGUUUUGGUGCACAUAUACUGACUUGCUGAAUGCAAUGCUUGGCUAGUCUAUUCUGACCUUGUUAAUAGUUAUAUUCAUGUACACUUGUUCCUUCUUGUUGCACUGCUGUUUUAUGUUAUGUGAUGGUGUUCAUGGAACUGCAUUGCCUUGUUAUUUGGUGAAUUGCCAUGCUGCUACUGAAUAUGCUACAGAUGUGUCUUGCCAUUGUUUUGCAUUUAUGAUGCAGUUUAUAUGAUGAUGUUGUUGUCAUGAUAUGACUGGCUGCAGUAGAUAUGUUUUGUUACAGGCGUAUGUUGUGUAGAUGCUAGGUUGAUGAUGUUAUGUGAUGACUCAUUGUUUUAAUUUCUUGAAUGCAUUGGUAAUGCGGGAUUAUGUUAUGCCUUUGCACUUGGUUAGUUUCAUGACUUGGUAUUCUAUUUUGGUGUUGUGUGGCAUGAACUGUUUUGAUGCCUUGCUGAAUAUCUAUUCUGCAGGUUUGGUAUGGUUUUUUGCAAGGAUCACCUGCAGGUCUGACCUGGAUUUAAGGCAGGUUUGUGGUUGCGAGUUCAUGGUUCUAUUGUGUGAUCCUGACUUGGUUGAAGCAUGGAGCCUUGCCAAUUUUUGUGCCAUGUGUGCAUGAAGGAUGGUGGUUCACCAAGCUUGAAAUUAAAAGCAACAUGGACCAAGAGAAACUCAAGGACCAAAGAUCAAAAAAUGCCCUUAGUAUUAGGAUUAGAACUUGGACUUAGGAUCUUUUAGGAUCGGGUUGACUUUGGUCAAAGUUGACCAAAAAGUCAAUUGUUGACCAAAGUCAACAAUUGGUCAAAGUUCAAAUUUUUGCCUUUUCCCUCAUGUAUGGACACUUGUUAGUGAAUAUGUAAUGAAUGGAAAUUGAAGUUAUAUGAAAUGAAACUUUUUAUGGAA